CUGCAGGUGGUGCAGUGGGUAGCACUGUCGCCUCACAGAAAGAAGGUUGUGGGUUCAAAUCUCGGCUUGGAGC
rnacentral:tRNA from 1 species